GACGAACGCUGGCGGCGUGCUUAACACAUGCAAGUCGAACGAAGUGGCGAACGGGUGAGUAACGCGUAAUCAACCUGCCCUUCAGAGGGGUACAACAGUUGGAAACGACUGCUAAUACCGCAUACUGAAGGAGGGGAUUGGGGCUGAUUGGCUCGUUGGAGGGGUAACGGCCCACCAAGGCGAUGAUCAGUAGCCGGUCUGAGAGGAUGAGCGGCCGCAUGGGGACUGAGACACGGCCCAGACUCCUACUGGAGUCAGCAGUGGGGAAUCGUCCGCAAUGGACGAAAGGCUGACGGAGCAACGCCGCGUGGGUGAUGACGGCCUUCAGGUUGUAAAGCUCUGUUAAUCGGGACGCGGUACCGGAAUAGAAAGCCACGGCUAACUACGUGCCAGCAGCCGCGGUAAUAC
rnacentral:rRNA from 1 species